GUCUAUGUCCAUAACCAUCCUGGGCAUGAAAUCUUAUGAUUUCUGAAGCUAAGCAGGGUUGGGCCUGGUUAGCAUUUAGAUGGGAGAAAGGAGGUGGUAUCUGCA
rnacentral:rRNA from 1 species